GGUCGAAAGAGGAAAUUCAUUCGCGUUUCGAUCGUUGAAGUUGGACGUUUGUAUGACGAACGAUGUUUCGGCAUCGUUUGCAUCUUAUGUUUUUCUAAUCGAUGUCGAACGCGUGCACUUUUCCUCUAGUAGGACGUCGCGAUCCGUUGGGUGUCUGUCUAAGACCCGAAGUGGAGCCCAUUCGAUUUUUCGAUCGUGUGGACCUUCGGUGUUCCGACAGACUCGCUCGACGGUAUACUAAUGGCGCGGGGCCGCUAUUUUAAUUAGCGUUCGGCCCGUAGCAAGCAAGUUCUGUGUUUGACAGCGAUCGGAUCUGAUGCCGAUUCUGUUCCGGAACUACUGUUGGUUGCGGUGCUCUCGAACAGACCUCG
rnacentral:rRNA from 1 species